UACGGGGGGAGCAAGCGUUGUUCGGAUUUACUGGGCGUAAAGGGCGCGUAGGCGGCCAGCACAAGUCAGUUGUGAAAUCUCCGGGCUUAACUCGGAACGGUCAGAUGAUACUGCUUUGCUAGAGUGCGGAAGGGGCAAUCGGAAUUCUUGGUGUAGCGGUGAAAUGCGUAGAUAUCAAGAGGAACACCUGCGGCGAAGGCGGGUUGCUGGGCUGACACUGACGCUGAUGCGCGAAAGCCAGGGGAGCGAACGGG
rnacentral:rRNA from 1 species